UGAAAAAGCUUUAGGGUUUACAAAGGUC
rnacentral:sRNA from 1 species